rnacentral:lncRNA from 1 species
CCUCUGGCAGCUGGAGAACAGCUGGCGGGUGGCAGGCAGCGGGAGGGAGGCUGGGGGGUGGGGAGGCUGCAGGCCUCCUCUUUCCCCAUCCUUCACCCCAUGGCUCGGUGCCCAGGGCAGGCCCGGGAUGCCCAGGGGACUGUGGGGUUCUCUGUCUUCCUGCCACCUUGAGCAGUACCGCCUCAAAGCCGGAGCACCUGGGCCAGGGUCCCUGCAGGGGUGGGUGGUAGCUGCCUGCAGGGCCUGAUAAGGCCCCAGUUCAGCCUUGGCUCCCCAUGGGGCUGCAGAGGUGCCGCCUGCCAGGUCACCUUGUCCCAUCUAUGUCCCCCACUGUGGCAGCUGCUCAGGGGAACCCCACACUUCAGGUUGGUGCCCCAUCCCCCUCAAAAGGGAGCUCUGGGGCUGGGUGGUCUGGAGUCUGGGGCCUCUGGGGUCUGGGGGGCCAGGACCUCUGUAGCAGCCCCCAACUCUGGCCUCCAUUCCUGGAGCCAUCUGGCCAGUUCUGCCAGCAGACCCGGGGGGGGGGCAGCGAGGCACCCCGUAUCUCCCCAGAGCUCGGCCUGCUCUCCCAGCCUUCCGAGACCCUGACCCUGCCACCACUCAGUGGUACUUCUGACCCCAGAAGGCUGAGGCCUGGGAGCCAGGCUUAGGUGUGCCGGCCGGCCGAGGUGGGACAGACUCGCUGUGGAGUUCAGGCUGGCCUUGAAUUCAUUAUGUAGCCAAGGCUGGCUUCAAACUCCAGGCAAUCCUCCUGCCUCAGCCUCCUCAGUGCUGAGAUUACAGGUGCAUGUGAUCACGCUUGGCUAUGGAGGAUUAAAUGAAUGAAUGGGUGAAACCCCACAACCUUCCUGGAAUUUGGCAGUAUUGUUAGUCGCAGCACUGCCUAACUCUGUACCUGACCCCAGGACCCUGAGGGCCUCACCACCCUGCUCCAUUACUGACCCCCUCGGGGCUCCCCAACCAGAGGCUCCUGCUGAGAAGUCCCCCCAUCAGAACACCUGGGACUCAGGUCUUCUCUGGCUUCUCUCGGGGUCCCCACCUGUCCACCCAGCCUCCUGUGUUUCCUGCUGCUCAUGGCAAAGCCCUGGGCUCCAGGCCUCAGGUGCACUCAGGCCUUCGGGCCUGGGCUGGCCUGCCGGGGGCGUCGCUGGGUGUGGUCUACGCUGCCGGGCCAGCCUGGCAGAGCAGGGUACUCAGUUUACAGAGC